CUACGGAGGGUGCAAGCGUUGUUCGGAAUCACUGGGCGUAAAGCGCGCGCAGGCGGCUUGAUAAGUUGGAUGUGAAAGCCUACGGCUCAACCGUAGAACUGCAUCCAAAACUGUCAAGCUAGAGUCUGGGAGGGGAAGAUGGAAUUAGUUGUGUAGGGGUAAAAUCCGUAGAGAUAACUAGGAAUACCAAAAGCGAAGGCGAUCUUCUGGAACAGUACUGACGCUGAGGCGCGAAAGCGUGGGGAGCAAACAGGAUUAGAAACCCUGGUAGUCC
rnacentral:rRNA from 1 species